AGCGUACACGGUGGAUGCCCUGGCAGUCAGAGGCGAUGAAGGACGUGCUAAUCUGCGAUAAGCGUCGGUGAGGUGAUAUGAACCGUUAUAACCGGCGAUUUCCGAAUGGGGAAACCCAGUGUGUUUCGACACACUAUCAUUAACUGAAUCCAUAGGUUAAUGAGGCGAACCGGGGGAACUGAAACAUCUAAGUACCCCGAGGAAAAGAAAUCAACCGAGAUUCCCCCAGUAGCGGCGAGCGAACGGGGAGGAGCCCAGAGCCUGAAUCAGUGUGUGUGUUAGUGGAAGCGUCUGGAAAGGCGCGCGAUACAGGGUGACAGCCCCGUACACAAAAAUGCACAUAUUGUGAGCUCGAUGAGUAGGGCGGGACACGUGGUAUCCUGUCUGAAUAUGGGGGGACCAUCCUCCAAGGCUAAAUACUCCUGACUGACCGAUAGUGAACCAGUACCGUGAGGGAAAGGCGAAAAGAACCCCGGCGAGGGGAGUGAAAAAGAACCUGAAACCGUGUACGUACAAGCAGUGGGAGCCUCUUUAUGGGGUGACUGCGUACCUUUUGUAUAAUGGGUCAGCGACUUAUAUUCUGUAGCAAGGUUAACCGAAUAGGGGAGCCGAAGGGAAACCGAGUCUUAACUGGGCGUUAAGUUGCAGGGUAUAGACCCGAAACCCGGUGAUCUAGCCAUGGGCAGGUUGAAGGUUGGGUAACACUAACUGGAGGACCGAACCGACUAAUGUUGAAAAAUUAGCGGAUGACUUGUGGCUGGGGGUGAAAGGCCAAUCAAACCGGGAGAUAGCUGGUUCUCCCCGAAAGCUAUUUAGGUAGCGCCUCGUGAAUUCAUCUCCGGGGGUAGAGCACUGUUUCGGCAAGGGGGUCAUCCCGACUUACCAACCCGAUGCAAACUGCGAAUACCGGAGAAUGUUAUCACGGGAGACACACGGCGGGUGCUAACGUCCGUCGUGAAGAGGGAAACAACCCAGACCGCCAGCUAAGGUCCCAAAGUCAUGGUUAAGUGGGAAACGAUGUGGGAAGGCCCAGACAGCCAGGAUGUUGGCUUAGAAGCAGCCAUCAUUUAAAGAAAGCGUAAUAGCUCACUGGUCGAGUCGGCCUGCGCGGAAGAUGUAACGGGGCUAAACCAUGCACCGAAGCUGCGGCAGCGACACUAUGUGUUGUUGGGUAGGGGAGCGUUCUGUAAGCCUGUGAAGGUGGCCUGUGAGGGUUGCUGGAGGUAUCAGAAGUGCGAAUGCUGACAUAAGUAACGAUAAAGCGGGUGAAAAGCCCGCUCGCCGGAAGACCAAGGGUUCCUGUCCAACGUUAAUCGGGGCAGGGUGAGUCGACCCCUAAGGCGAGGCCGAAAGGCGUAGUCGAUGGGAAACAGGUUAAUAUUCCUGUACUUGGUGUUACUGCGAAGGGGGGACGGAGAAGGCUAUGUUGGCCGGGCGACGGUUGUCCCGGUUUAAGCGUGUAGGCUGGUUUUCCAGGCAAAUCCGGAAAACCAAGGCUGAGGCGUGAUGACGAGGCACUACGGUGCUGAAGCGACAAAUGCCCUGCUUCCAGGAAAAGCCUCUAAGCAUCAGGUAACAUCAAAUCGUACCCCAAACCGACACAGGUGGUCAGGUAGAGAAUACCAAGGCGCUUGAGAGAACUCGGGUGAAGGAACUAGGCAAAAUGGUGCCGUAACUUCGGGAGAAGGCACGCUGAUAUGUAGGUGAAGCGACUUGCUCGUGGAGCUGAAAUCAGUCGAAGAUACCAGCUGGCUGCAACUGUUUAUUAAAAACACAGCACUGUGCAAACACGAAAGUGGACGUAUACGGUGUGACGCCUGCCCGGUGCCGGAAGGUUAAUUGAUGGGGUUAGCGGUAACGCGAAGCUCUUGAUCGAAGCCCCGGUAAACGGCGGCCGUAACUAUAACGGUCCUAAGGUAGCGAAAUUCCUUGUCGGGUAAGUUCCGACCUGCACGAAUGGCGUAAUGAUGGCCAGGCUGUCUCCACCCGAGACUCAGUGAAAUUGAACUCGCUGUGAAGAUGCAGUGUACCCGCGGCAAGACGGAAAGACCCCGUGAACCUUUACUAUAGCUUGACACUGAACAUUGAGCCUUGAUGUGUAGGAUAGGUGGGAGGCUUUGAAGUGUGGACGCCAGUCUGCAUGGAGCCGACCUUGAAAUACCACCCUUUAAUGUUUGAUGUUCUAACGUUGGCCCGUAAUCCGGGUUGCGGACAGUGUCUGGUGGGUAGUUUGACUGGGGCGGUCUCCUCCUAAAGAGUAACGGAGGAGCACGAAGGUUGGCUAAUCCUGGUCGGACAUCAGGAGGUUAGUGCAAUGGCAUAAGCCAGCUUGACUGCGAGCGUGACGGCGCGAGCAGGUGCGAAAGCAGGUCAUAGUGAUCCGGUGGUUCUGAAUGGAAGGGCCAUCGCUCAACGGAUAAAAGGUACUCCGGGGAUAACAGGCUGAUACCGCCCAAGAGUUCAUAUCGACGGCGGUGUUUGGCACCUCGAUGUCGGCUCAUCACAUCCUGGGGCUGAAGUAGGUCCCAAGGGUAUGGCUGUUCGCCAUUUAAAGUGGUACGCGAGCUGGGUUUAGAACGUCGUGAGACAGUUCGGUCCCUAUCUGCCGUGGGCGCUGGAGAACUG
rnacentral:rRNA from 1 species